UAGACAUCACAUCUACCAGUAGCUUUUGUCUCUUGAGACCAUGUCAUUCUGCACCACAUUUACAGGCUGAAGCAAGUAACUGAGAAGGAGGAGGAGGAGCAAAAGUUCAAAAGACAUCAAGGCAAGAGAAGUUACAGUGCUGUUCCCGUGAAGGACAACAAAAGUUGAAAGUAGAUCACAGUGUACAGUAAAUUGAAGAAAUUGUUAUCAAGUUUCUGCAGCAUGUCUGGUUCUUCUUGGUUACUUCUGUUGUUGAGAACAGAAGGUAGCAUCUCAACUGGAAAAGUACCAGGACGGUUGGACCUCAAAAAUACGGACCUUUGUAUCCAAGGUUAGAGGCAAAGAUGUUGAGCACAACAUCCC
rnacentral:lncRNA from 11 species